rnacentral:rRNA from 1 species
CCUACGGGAGGCAGCAGUAGGGAAUCUUCCACAAUGGGCGAAAGCCUGAUGGAGCAACGCCGCGUGAGUGAUGAAGGCCUUCGGGUUGUAAAACUCUGUCAUUCGGGACGAACCGGAGUCUGAGGAAAUGCAGACUCUCUGACGGUACCGGAGGAGGAAGCCCCGGCUAACUACGUGCCAGCAGCCGCGGUAAUACGUAGGGGGCAAGCGUUGUCCGGAUUCACUGGGCGUAAAGCGCGCGCAGGCGGUGAUGUAAGUCUGAGGUGAAAACCCGAAGCUCAACUUCGGGACUGCCUUGGAUACUGCGUCACUUGAGGAUAGGAGAGGCAAGGGGAAUUCCACGUGUAGCGGUGAAAUGCGUACGAGAUGUGGAGGAACACCUGUGGCGAAGGCGCCUUGCUGGCCUAUUUCUGACGCUGAGGCGCGAAAGCGUGGGGAGCAAACAGGAUUAGAUACCCUGGUAGUCCACGCUGUAAACGAUGAGUGCUAGGUGUAGGUGGGCUCAUACCCAUCUGUGCCGAAGCUAACGCAUUAAGCACUCCGCCUGGGGAGUACGGUCGCAAAGACUGAAACUCAAAGGAAUUGACGG